UAAGGUCACGGCGAGACGAGCCGUUUAUCAUUACGAUAGAUGUCAAGCAGAAGUGCAGUGAUGUAUGCAGCUGAGGCAUCCUAACAGACCGAGAGAUUUGAAC
rnacentral:rRNA from 3 species